AGUGUCACAUAAAAGAUAUAUGAAAUAAUAAUAGUGACAAGGAUAACUAAUUUGAUCUAGCCACAUAAUAAAUAUGAUAAGCACCUCAAUUAGAUACUCUAGAAAGUCAUUAGCAUGGUAUUAGAACGAACUACAAGAAUAUUCCCUAAGUUAUUCUCAACUAUAUAGUCUAGCAUAUCAUAGUUAGUGCAGGCAUACUUAGCAAUCAUUGCGAGACAAGACUACGCUCAUGCAUAGUGAUAUUAGCAAGGAAUAUGAGAAACAUAGCAAUCACUCCCCUGUAAUAAUGUUGCUCUGCCAGCCCAAUACACGAGAGGGGGACUAUAUAAGAAUCAAUGAAGCUGUCACUAUCACGAACCACCCCA
rnacentral:lncRNA from 1 species